UCCCUAAGUUAUAGGGCAUUUCGCAGUCGCACAUGCUCAAUGAAAAUCAAGCAAACGAGAAUUGAGACAAAAAGUGAGCGACACACACGAAUGAAGACGGCAGAGGGAAGUUAUUUGGGCCAUGGCUAAGGGGGCUCGUUGGGAGGCGCCACAUGUUGAAAGACAGCCAGUCCUGCCACAUGGCAGCCGCUGCUCAUUAUGCGGAU